rnacentral:rRNA from 1 species
AGCAGCCAUCAUUUAAAGAGUGCGUAAUAGCUCACUAGUCGAGUGACACUGCGCCGAAAAUGUACCGGGGCUAAACAUAUUACCGAAGCUGUGGAUUGUCCUUUGGACAAUGGUAGGAGAGCGUUCUAAGGGCGUUGAAGCAUGAUCGUAAGGACAUGUGGAGCGCUUAGAAGUGAGAAUGCCGGUGUGAGUAGCGAAAGACGGGUGAGAAUCCCGUCCACCGAUUGACUAAGGUUUCCAGAGGAAGGCUCGUCCGCUCUGGGUUAGUCGGGUCCUAAGCUGAGGCCGACAGGCGUAGGCGAUGGAUAACAGGUUGAUAUUCCUGUACCACCUAUAAUCGUUUUAAUCGAUGGGGGGACGCAGUAGGAUAGGCGAAGCGUGCGAUUGGAUUGCACGUCUAAGCAGUAAGGCUGAGUAUUAGGCAAAUCCGGUACUCAUUAAGGCUGAGCUGUGAUGGGGAGAAGACAUUGUGUCUUCGAGUCGUUGAUUUCACACUGCCGAGAAAAGCCUCUAGAUAGAAAAUAGGUGCCCGUACCGCAAACCGACACAGGUAGUCAAGAUGAGAAUUCUAAGGUGAGCGAGCGAACUCUCGUUAAGGAACUCGGCAAAAUGACCCCGUAACUUCGGGAGAAGGGGUGCUCUUUAGGGUUAACGCCCAGAAGAGCCGCAGUGAAUAGGCCCAAGCGACUGUUUAUCAAAAACACAGGUCUCUGCUAAACCGUAAGGUGAUGUAUAGGGGCUGACGCCUGCCCGGUGCUGGAAGGUUAAGAGGAGUGGUUAGCUUCUGCGAAGCUACGAAUCGAAGCCCCAGUAAACGGCGGCCGUAACUAUAACGGUCCUAAGGUAGCGAAAUUCCUUGUCGGGUAAGUUCCGACCCGCACGAAAGGCGUAACGAUUUGGGCACUGUCUCAACGAGAGACUCGGUGAAAUCAUAGUACCUGUGAAGAUGCAGGUUACCCGCGACAGGACGGAAAGACCCCGUGGAGCUUUACUGUAGCCUGAUAUUGAAAUUCGGCACAGCUUGUACAGGAUAGGUAGGAGCCUUUGAAACGUGAGCGCUAGCUUACGUGGAGGCGCUGGUGGGAUACUACCCUAGCUGUGUUGGCUUUCUAACCCGCACCACUUAUCGUGGUGGGAGACAGUGUCAGGCGGGCAGUUUGACUGGGGCGGUCGCCUCCUAAAAGGUAACGGAGGCGCUCAAAGGUUCCCUCAGAAUGGUUGGAAAUCAUUCAUAGAGUGUAAAGGCAUAAGGGAGCUUGACUGCGAGACCUACAAGUCGAGCAGGGUCGAAAGACGGACUUAGUGAUCCGGUGGUUCCGCAUGGAAGGGCCAUCGCUCAACGGAUAAAAGCUACCCCGGGGAUAACAGGCUUAUCUCCCCCAAGAGUUCACAUCGACGGGGAGGUUUGGCACCUCGAUGUCGGCUCAUCGCAUCCUGGGGCUGUAGUCGGUCCCAAGGGUUGGGCUGUUCGCCCAUUAAAGCGGUACGCGAGCUGGGUUCAGAACGUCGUGAGACAGUUCGGUCCCUAUCCGUCGUGGGCGUAGGAAAUUUGAGAGGAGCUGUCCUUAGUACGAGAGGACCGGGAUGGACAUACCUCUGGUGUACCAGUUGUCGUGCCAACGGCAUAGCUGGGUAGCUAUGUGUGGACGGGAUAAGUGCUGAAAGCAUCUAAGCAUGAAGCCCCCCUCAAGAUGAGAUUUCCCAACUUCGGUUAUAAGAUCCCUCAAAGAUGAUGAGGUUAAUAGGUUCGAGGUGGAAGCAUGGUGACAUGUGGAGCUGACGAAUACUAA